rnacentral:rRNA from 1 species
CAGCCGCCACGGUAAUACGUAGGGUGCAAGCGUUAAUCGGAAUUACUGGGCGUAAAGCGUGCGCAGGCGGUUCGCUAAGACAGAUGUGAAAUCCCCGGGCUCAACCUGGGAACUGCAUUUGUGACUGUAUAGCUAGAGUACGGCAGAGGGGGAUGGAAUUCCGCGUGUAGCAGUGAAAUGCGUAGGUAUGAGGAGGAACACCGAUGGCGAAGGCAAUCCCCUGGGCCUGUACUGACGCUCAUGCACGAAAGCGUGGGGAGCAAACAGGAUUAGAGACCCGCGUAGUCCCUGUCUCUUAUAC